rnacentral:rRNA from 1 species
AUUGAACGCUGGCGGCAUGCUUUACACAUGCAAGUCGAACGGUAACAGGCCGCAAGGUGCUGACGAGUGGCGAACGGGUGAGUAAUGCAUCGGAACGUGCCCAAUCGUGGGGGAUAACGCAGCGAAAGCUGCGCUAAUACCGCAUACGAUCUGUGGAUGAAAGCGGGGGACCUUCGGGCCUCGCGCGAUUGGAGCGGCCGAUGUCAGAUUAGGUAGUUGGUGGGGUAAAGGCUCACCAAGCCGACGAUCUGUAGCUGGUCUGAGAGGACGACCAGCCACACUGGGACUGAGACACGGCCCAGACUCCUACGGGAGGCAGCAGUGGGGAAUUUUGGACAAUGGGGGCAACCCUGAUCCAGCAAUGCCGCGUGCAGGAAGAAGGCCUUCGGGUUGUAAACUGCUUUUGUACGGAACGAAAAGGCUCUGGUUAAUACCUGGGGCUCAUGACGGUACCGUAAGAAUAAGCACCGGCUAACUACGUGCCAGCCGCCGCGGUAAUAC